rnacentral:rRNA from 1 species
UACGGAGGGUGCAAGCGUUAAUCGGAAUUACUGGGCGUAAAGCGUGCGUAGGCGGUUCGUUAAGUCUGCUGUGAAAGCCCCGGGCUCAACCUGGGAAUGGCAGUGGAUACUGGCGAGCUAGAGUGUGAUAGAGGAUGGUGGAAUUCCCGGUGUAGCGGUGAAAUGCGUAGAUAUCUGGAGGAACAUCGGUGGCGAAGGCGGCAUCCUGGACCGGUAUUGACGCUGAGGCGCGAAAGCCAGGGGAGCAAACGGG